rnacentral:rRNA from 1 species
GUAGGGGGCGAGCGUUGCUCGGAAUUACUGGGCGUAAAGGGUGUGUAGGUGGCUGAUCAAGUCAAAGAUGAAAUCCCGAGGCUCAACUUCGGAAUUGUCUUUGAAACUGGUCGGCUUGAGGCUAGUUGAGGAGAGCGGAAUUCCCGGUGGAGCGGUGAAAUGCGUAGAUAUCGGGAGGAACACCUGAGGCGUAGGCGGUUCUCUAAACUAGUCCUGACACUGAGACACGAAAGCUAGGGGAGCAAACGGGAUUAGAUACCCCGGUAGUCCUAGCUGUAAACGAUGGACGCUAGAUGUACCUGCGUUCAUGCAGGUGUGUCGAAGCUUAACGCGUUAAGCGUCCCGCCUGGGGAGUACGGUUCGCAAGGCUG